rnacentral:rRNA from 1 species
CUUUUCGGGCGUUUUAGUGAUUUGGGCUAUAUUACGGACCCAAAAUUACUUGUUCAAGCAUUGUUUUCGAAUUUUUUCAUGCAUCAAAGCUCGUUAAGACUAGAUGGGGUAUCCCUACAUAGCGGGUGGGACCCRCGGCGAAUGGUUCAUCAAGUCUUCAAAAAAGAAUAUAUACGAUUGCAUUGCAUAUACUAACGGAUGCGAUCAUACCAGCACUAAUGCACCGGAUCCCAUCAGAACUCCGCAGUUAAGCGUGCUUGGGCGAGAGUAGUACUAGGAUGGGUGACCUCUCGGGAAGUCCUCGUGUUGCAUCCCUCUUUUAUGUUUAACCUUUUUUUUUGGUUAAAACUUUAUGACUCCAUAACUUUUAGACCGUGAGGCCAAACUUGGCAUGUGAUACCUUUUCG